UGACCACAGAGCGGCAGCAAAGAAUGCUGGGACCUGUAGGUUAUAGACAGAGUGCAGGGAAGUGAACAAGCAGGAUGGCAAAAAGGUUUAUUAGAGCCACGUACAGGAGAUCAAAAAAGAUCUCAGCUAUUAACAUUCUGCCCUCCCUGCUGGAGACUCUUGGCUUCCAUUCAAUCUACUGUACUUCUCUACGGUCCCCUGCAUGGAUCUGAAAGACGGCUAUCAAAGGAUACCUUUGUCAAGUGGAGCUAAAACUACUGAACUGAGACGCCUGUCUGUUUGGAUCUGUUCACUUGCUGGCAAGACUGAAGGGUUCCGUUC